UGGGGAAUAUUGCGCAAUGGGCGAAAGCCUGACGCAGCGACGCCGCGUGAAGGAUGAAGGUCUUUGGAUUGUAAACUUCUGUUAAACGGGAAGAGAUACCUUUUUCAAAUAAAAGAAGGUGAUGACUGUACCGUUAGAGAAAGCACUGGCUAAUCCCGUGCCAGCAGCCGCGGUAAUACGGGAAGUGCAAGCGUUAUUCGGAAUUACUGGGCGUAAAGGGUGUGUAGGCGGCGAAUUAAGUCUAUUGUUAAAUAUCUCGGCCUAACCGAGAAGGUGCAAUGGAAACUGAUUUGCUAGAGUAUAGAAGAGAGAAGUGGAAUUCUCGGAGUAGCGGUUAAAUGCGUAGAUCUCGAGAAGAACACCGAUGGCGAAGGCAGCUUCUUGGUCUAUUACUGACGCUGAAACACGAAAGCGUGGGGAGCAAACAGG
rnacentral:rRNA from 1 species